rnacentral:rRNA from 1 species
UUAAUGUUGCAGGAGGAUGGGGGUAUUGAUGAAGAUGUGAACCAUCGAAUCAAAGCCGGAUGGAUGAAGUGGCGCCAAGCUUCUGGCAUUCUCUGUGACAAGAGAGUGCCACAAAAGCUAAAAGGCAAGUUCUACAGGACGGCGGUUCGACCCGCAAUGUUGUAUGGCGCGGAGUGUUGGCCGACUAAAAGGAGACAUGUUCAACAGUUAGGUGUGGCGGAGAUGCGUAUGUUGAGAUGGAUGUGUGGCCACACGAGGAAGGAUCGAGUCCGGAAUGAUGAUAUACGAGAUAGAGUUGGGGUAGCACCAAUUGAGGAGAAGCUUGUCCAACAUCGUUUGAGAUGGUUUGGGCAU